rnacentral:tRNA from 4 species
GGAGAGGUGGCUGAGUGGUUAAAAAGCGUCCUCUUGCUAAGGGGAAGUAGGUAGUAAUAUCUACCGAGGGUUCAAAUCCCUCUCUCUCCU